UCCUGAAGCCAGGACAUCAUAGAGGCAAACACACACACACAAGGGCAAACAAGAGGAGCCAACUUUCACGCAAGCGGGGAGCUUAUGCAAACUUGUAAUAAGGUACUAAUCAAAUCAGGACUCAGACUAUGGAGUGUGACGCGGCUCGCAGCCUUUUCUAUCCACUGCUCCACCCUUUCAUCAUCAUAAUUUCAAAGGUUCCUCUUGAUGUUCACUCACCGAGUCCUUAAUGUGCAGCAGCCGGGAGUCCGAGUGACGCUGACCCGCCAAGCAGAUCGCGCGCGUUAGUGUCAGUGUGAGCGUGGCCGAAUUAGCCCGCGCGCGGGAUCUGUCAUUCCGUUGUGUUGUUUGAAAGGCUGCAGGCGCGCUUCGCGUCUCCGUGAUGAGUAUGUGAGGCAAAAGGGACAAAACGAAGAGGACACAAGAAAGAAAGAAAGAAAGAAAGAAAGAAAGAAAGAAAGAAAGAAAGAAAGAAAGAAAAUGGAUUAAAAAUAUGGAGCGAAAAGGACUAAGCCCAUUCAACAUGUUUCAAGUCGUUUUCUGCCUGGUCAUUUUUCAGGUACAUUUCACGUAUUUGUCGAUUGCAUCUCCUACAUCAACAAAUUCUACAACAACAACCACAGCAUCGCCAACGACUGCAUCUCCUACAUCAACAA